AAGGUGCUUGUUUCCCCUUCACCUUCCACCAUGAUUCUACAUUUCCUGAGGCCUCCCCAGCACUGUGGAACUAUGAGGAAGCGGAUGCAUAGCAAGUUUAAAUAGCUUGCAGAAGGACACACAGUUUGCAAGUGAAGGAGCUCAAAUUCAAAGACUGGCAGUCUGCAUCCAGAGUUGAUCAUCUUAAAUACCAUGCUGAACCGGUUGCUCUCAAAGUCUAAACAGUAUUUUUUACAAUAAGAUAUCCUUUUGUAGGUCAACGAAUAGUUUCUAAUUCUUUUUAAAAUAAAAUACAAUGAACUGAAUACAA
rnacentral:lncRNA from 1 species